UCAGGAAUACAAAAAAGAUGUGAUCACAAGAGUGAAAAAGAGAGUCUUUACUUCUGUUUGAGCAGUUUGAACAGAGAAUAUGGGCCUGGACUAAAAAAAAUGCAAAGGGGGGCUAGGGAAAGAGUCUAUCUUCCAUAGCUUCAAAAAAUGAGUCUAAAAAUUUAAUCUGUUUCUCUGGCUAGGACUUCCAGUACUAUG